ACUGUUGGAGUUGAGAAAAAUGACAUUCCUGACAUCAACUACGCUCCCAGCAGCAUCCUGGAGUCUCUGGAAACACACAUGAAUGGUCUGGAGGAUACAAAGGGCGGAAAGAAGGGGUAAGGAAGAAUUAAAUGAUAUAUAUUUUUUAAUUUCAAUUCGGUGCUUCUUAUUCUCAGUUUGGUAACCAGAUAAGAAACAGUUGUAAAUGAGGCUGACAUUGGAGAAAAUCGUAUCACUACAAAACCAAGAGAAAUGUUGAAAACAGACCCAUACAGGUGCUACAUUCCUAUAAUUUCUGUUAACCCCUCCUCUCUUUUAUCCCCUUUUAUGUUCAUUUGGAAUCACCAGUGAAGGGUGAGCAUACACCAUAUGUUUUGUUUGGAGCUCAUUAACAACUUAGAAAACUGUGUAUUUAUUGCCCCCCCCCCCCCCACCCCCCAAGGUAAACAUACACAUCAUUCGGAUGUGUAUGUGCGGAUCACAGUAUGAAGGUGCGGAUCACAGUAUGAAUGUGAUCUCCAUGUGAACGGACACAUUGUGCGCAUCAUGCACCACAAACUUGGUUCACGUGUGGAAAUGUGUGUAUUGUGUAAUGUACAUUUUUUGUCAAAACAGUAAGUCACCACAUGUGUGUUCACAUCCUGCCAUGCAAUGUGAUAUGAAGGGAUUUGUUCCAAAGUUAAAACGCUUUGUUGCACAAAGUUUGCUAGAUUAUCGAGCAUUUUUGACAAUUGGUUGCUUCAGAAGAUUGUGUAUGCAUCAGACAUAUAAUAUAUUACUUUGGAAUUUAACUUUUCAUAUGAUCACAUAUGAUACAAUCUGUCUAUCGUAUGUGUUUAGACGUAAUAGAUCCAUCAAAUAGUUUUCAGUCUAUAUCACACAGAUGUGUCUUAAGCACUCACCCCCUUCUCUUCCACUCUUUCAGGUCUCCAACAAAGGGAUCUCCGACAAACAACGUGUCUCCAACAUCGACUCCAGCCAAAUCUUCGAACGCCGUUCCCACACUGCAGCCUCCUCCCGGGGAGAACGCUGCUGGUGCUGCUGCUCCGGAGCCAGCCGAAGAUUCCUUGUUGGACCUGGAUCCACUGUCCUCCAUGGGUCCCUCAGCAGCAUCAGCUGCCCCCACAUCUUGGGGAGACCUUCUCGGAUCAGAAAUGGGCGAUUCCUUGCUAUCCGAACCCACCCUCACAGCAGAGCCCACCCCCUCCUCUGCAGCAGCAACGCCCACUCCUGCAGCGGCAGAACCCGGAGUCUCUCUAGCUCCUCCCACUAGCACAGCAGCUGCCACCUCCCCUGGCGCCGCCAAUAUGGAUCUGUUGGGAGGUCAGUGAGCUUCCAGAAAAUUCUCUACGAAAGAAUCACUCUGGGAAGCUCAACCCUAAAAACCAUCAUGCAAUACGAUAACACAGACAUGCAUGUCCAAACACAGACAGUAUGUACAUGCUGAUUUAUCCGUGGUACUGUUUUUAUCUUGGAAGCAAAGUUGUAUCAUCAAUAAAUAUCUUAGUUAUUAUGAAAUAAUCAUAUGAAUAAUAUGUGUACAAUGAAAGAAUGAACUAAUUAAGCAUAUUUAAAUGAUGUAAAAAGUCAAUCACUAUAGUCUAUAUUCAACUCAAUAUUUAGUUUCUCAAAUUUUGAAAAUGUCAACUGAAAAAGUUGCAUAAGAUAAAAGUGUCACUGGGGAAAAAUGUUGGUUGAUAUAAGCAACCUUUUUCUGAAAAGGGCACAAAAAUUAUUCCCAAAAUGUUACUGUGAAAGUUACAGUGAUUAAAUAAGAUUUAAUAAUGAGUUGACUAAAAUAAUUCCUUCAAUAAUGUCACAAAUUGUUAGGUUGUUCAUUACAAUUUUGUAUUUUAUGAUCAAUUAUUAUUCAUUUAAUGAAAUCAAUGGGACUGAAAAAAUACUGUAGAU
ensembl:lncRNA